GACGAACGCUGGCGGCGUGCUUAACACAUGCAAGUCGAACGGUAAGGCCCUUCGGGGUACACGAGUGGCGAACGGGUGAGUAACACGUGGGUGAUCUGCCCUGCACUUCGGGAUAAGCCUGGGAAACUGGGUCUAAUACCGGAUAGGACCACUGCCUGCAUGGGUGGUGGUGGAAAGCUUUUGCGGUGUGGGAUGGGCCCGCGGCCUAUCAGCUGGUUGGUGGGGUGAUGGCCUACCAAGGCGACGACGGGUAGCCGGCCAGAGAGGGUGACCGCCCACACUGGGACUGGGAGACGGCCCAGACUCCUACGGGAGGCAGCAGUGGGGAAUAUUGCACAAUGGGCGCAAGCCUGAUGCAGCGACGCCGCGUGAGGGAUGACGGCCUUCGGGUUGUAAACCUCUUUCAGCACCGACGAAGCGCAAGUGACGGUAGGUGCAGAAGAAGGACCGGCCAACUACGUGCCAGCCGCCGCAGUAA
rnacentral:rRNA from 1 species